rnacentral:rRNA from 1 species
UACGAAGGGGGCUAGCGUUGUUCGGAAUCACUGGGCGUAAAGCGCACGUAGGCGGGUGAUUAAGUCCGCCGUCAAAUCCCAGGGCUCAACUCUGGACAGGCGGUGGAAACUACCAAGCUGGAGUACGGUAGGGGCAGAGGGAAUUUCCGGUGGAGCGGUGAAAUGCGUAGAGAUCGGAAAGAACACCAGCGGCGAAAGCACUCUGCUGGGCCGACACUGACACUGAGAGACGAAAGCUAGGGGAGCGAAUGGG